AAAAUAAGAACGCGCCUUUAAAGUAAGUACCUGAUAGGCGAUACCAUGUAUCCGAACGCUUCCGUAACGAACUUGUCAAUGUCAAAUUGACGUCAAUUUUGACGUCGUCAAACGAACGACUGCUAUACUUAUAUAUCGGCAGAAUUGUUUAUAGUUGUUGUUAUUUCAUUUAAAAAGUUGAAAUCCUAAAUAAAUUAAGUAUGGAAAGUGGUAGUAGUGACGACGAAAGUGCGUCAAAUUCUAGUGCGCCGCUAACGCCAAUUAAAAAGCGAAAAAUUACAAAAAGACUCCAAAAAUUUUAACCGGAGUGGGAAAGAGAGUAUGGCUGGAUUACUGAAGAUCCCCAAAAUAUUUAUAAUGCGAAAUGUAAACAUUGUAAUCUGUCUGAAUAAUUUGGUUUUGAGAAGUUCAAUGCAAAAGUGGAAAACAUAGAAAAGCUUCUGACAUUAAACUACACAAAAAACUGAACCAAGAACCAUCACCUUCCGUCCUCGUCGAGACAAAAGGCUAGAAGCUAAUUACACAGAAUAUGGAAUUUCAAACACUUAUGAAGAAGCAAUGAAAAGUCCUAAUUCUCAUCUGUGGAAGAAAGCUGUAGCUGAAGAGCUUCAGUCUUCCUCCGAGCCUUUUUUUCCCAAACUAUGUUGGGGUCGGCUUUUAGUCUAAAAACUAAGUUUAAGUGUAGCUGAAGAGCUUCAGUCACAUAAAAAAAAUCAGACGUGGAUACUAACCGAUAAAAGUUAGAAGAAGCCUGUAUCGUGUAAAUGGGUGUUCUCUUUAAAGAAGAAUAGAGAUGGAAAAAUAGUACAAUAGAAAGCACGACUGUGUGCACGAGGGUUCACACAAGUCAAGGGCUUGGAUUAUAAUGAGACUAUUUCCCCCACAAGCAGGUACGAUUCGAUCUGGGUUCUGUAACAGAACAUAAAUUUAAAAAGUGAUGUUGAAUAUCAACACUUUUCUCACUUAGUAGAAACUUUGAAACUGCAAAAACUUAAUAUUAACAUGGAUGACCUGUAUGAAGAAGUUUCUUUAUUAAAAGAGUUAUAUGCACAAGUUAAUCAUUCUAAAGAUUUUUUGGAAUUAUCUACAUCACAGAAGUGGCAAAAAAAUUUUCAAAGUAGUAAUGAUUUCGUAAAUAUAUAUAAAAUCGUGUCAUUUCUGCUAUCCAUUCCUGCCACUUCAGCAUUUACAGAGAGAGUUUUUUCUCUGAUGAAUGCUAAGUGGCGGGACGAACGAAACAGAGCGUCCCUAAAUUUAAUAAAAAACGAAUUAUUUAUAUACUUCAAUCUAAACAUAGAUUGUAAAGAUGCGGUUAAGACGUUCUUUGAUAAUAAAUAUUUGUUAGA